CCCAGACUCCUACGGGAGGCAGCAGUGGGGAAUUUUGCGCAAUGGGGGAAACCCUGACGCAGCAACGCCGCGUGCGGGACGAAGGCCUUCGGGUCGUAAACCGCUUUCAGCAGGGACGAAUUCCGACGGUACCUGCAGAAGAAGCCCCGGCUAACUACGUGCCAGCAGCCGCGGUAAUACGUAGGGGGCGAGCGUUAUCCGGAAUUACUGGGUGUAAAGGGAGCGUAGACGGCGAAGUAAGCCUGAAGUGGAAGCCCGCGGCCCAACCGCGGAACUGCUUUGGGAACUGUUUAGCUGGAGUAUGGGAGGGGUAAGCGGAAUUCCUGGUGUAGCGGUGAAAUGCGUAGAUAUCAGGAGGAACACCGGUGGCGAAGGCGGCUUACUGGACCAUGACUGACGUUGAGGCUCGAAAGCGUGGGGAGCAAACAGGAUUAGAUACCCCCGUAC
rnacentral:rRNA from 1 species